AACUAUCACCGUGUCACGUUACUAACAAGAACACACAUCCUUAACCGCAAAAAGGUAAACAAACAAGUGGUAUUAAAUCCGUUGGUGCCCCGAGGGACGUCUAAGAGGCACCACCCAUCAUCAACGGCCGGAAUCAACUCUAUAGCUACUACAUCUUCCCCAUUACGAUUAGUUUAGUAAGCGUACAUUUAAUAGAUCAAAGCAGCGAAGGACAACUACAGACGCCUGAUAAGUUAACGCAUGGCAUAAGCAAAUAAUAAAAAGGUACAAAUCGGGACCACAAACGCUUCUGCAGAAAUCAUUUUGUGGGGCUUUUAGCCUGCCGGCAUGUGUG